rnacentral:rRNA from 1 species
AGACGUAGGGGGCGAGCGUUGUCCGGAAUCACUGGGCGUAAAGGGCGUGUAGGCGGCUUUGCAAGUCAGUGGUGAAACACCUGGGCUCAACCCAGGUAUUGCCGUUGAAACUGCAUCGCUUGAGGGUAGAAGAGGAGUGUGGAAUUCCCGGUGUAGCGGUGAAAUGCGUAGAGAUCGGGAGGAACACCAGUGGCGAAGGCGGCACUCUGGUCUACCCCUGACGCUGAGGCGCGAAAGCUAGGGGAGCAAACAGGAUUAGAUACCCUGGUAGUCCUAGCCGUAAACGAUGGGCACUAGGUGUAGGAGGUUUAGAUACCUUCUGUGCCGUAGCUAACGCAUUAAGUGCCCCGCCUGGGAAGUACGGUCGCAAGGCUGAA